rnacentral:rRNA from 1 species
UGAGGAAUUUUCCGCAAUGGGCGAAAGCCUGACGGAGCAACGCCGCGUGAGGGAUGAAGUCUCUAGGGAUGUAAACCUCUGUUGGGUGGGACGAAGAUCUGACGGUACCACCUGAGGAAGCCCCGGCUAACUACGUGCCAGCAGCCGCGGUAAUACGUAGGGGGCGAGCGUUAUCCGGAUUUACUGGGCGUAAAGAGCGCGUAGGCGGUUCCGUAAGUUGGUUGUGAAAGUUCGAGGCUCAACCUCGAAACUGCGUCCAAUACUGCGGGGCUUGAGUGCAAGAGAGGCAAGUGGAAUUUGCAGUGUAGUAGUGAAAUGCGUAGAUAUUGCAAGGAACACCAGUGGCGAAGGCGGCUUGCUAGCUUGUAACUGACGCUGAGGCGCGAAAGCUAGGGGAGCGAACGGGAUUAGAUACCCCCGUAGUCC